rnacentral:rRNA from 1 species
AGUCUAACAUGUGCGCGAGUCAUUGGGACAUUGAAACCUAAAGGCGCAAUGAAAGUGAAGGUCGUACCUUGCGUCGACCAAGGGAGGAUGGGCCGCGUCACGAUGCGGCCUCGCACUCCCGGGGCGUCUCGUUCUCAUUGCGAGAAGAGGCGCACCCAGAGCGUACACGUUGGGACCCGAAAGAUGGUGAACUAUGCCUGGUCAGGACGAAGUCAGGGGAAACCCUGAUGGAGGUCCGUAGCGAUUCUGACGUGCAAAUCGAUCGUCGGAACUGGGUAUAGGGGCGAAAGACUAAUCGAACCAUCUAGUAGCUGGUUCCCUCCGAAGUUUCCCUCAGGAUAGCUGGCACUCGCUCGUUCCUCUUUGUGAACGCGUGCGAGUCUCAUCUGGUAAAGCGAAUGAUUAGAGGCCUUGGGGCCGAAACGACCUCAACCUAUUCUCAAACUUUAAAUGGGUGAGAUCUCUGGCUUGCUUGGAUCAAUGAAGCCACGAGAUUUAUUUGGAUCAGAGUGCCAAGUGGGCCAAUUUUGGUAAGCAGAACUG